rnacentral:lncRNA from 1 species
AGUGAGUCAUUCGUUUCUUUUCUCUUUUAUUUGUCUUUCUUUUGCUUUCAGUUAUUUGCGUAUGCAUUUCUAUAGGUAGUCACAGUUUGGGUGCAUUGAUGCCUUAAAACCUCCCUCUUCUAGGUUUUACUUCUUAUUGAAUUGGAACUGUCAGUUUCUUCCAUGAAUUCUGCAGUAGAAGACAGCUGGAGAUUAACUUCUUAAUUCUCUUGCCUAUUACUUCUUUUUUGGGGUUUGUUGAGGGUGUGGAGGACCAGCUUUACUGACUAGUCUGUCUCUCUUUAAGGAAAUGGUUUUGCUCUCUCCAUUCAGAUUUUGGUAAUAUGUAGUACUAUUGUAAGUGUACGUUCAUGGUGAUGCGCUGAGGGAACAUGACAAGAUAAGAAAUCUUAAGGCAACUCUACCAGAAAGUAGAUUCUCAAGAAAAGCACAAUCAUGAAUAGAAUUCACCUUCACUUUUAUCCAAAAAUUCACCCUAGAAAAUAGAAUAAUGGGUGAUCUUAUGAGCUUCUAGCCUUGAAACAGUCCAGUUAUCUAUCAAGCAGGUCAGACUCCUUGGCAUGUCGGUCGCUUGAACAAUGUAAUUCUCAUGUUCAUGCAAAAGUUAAUUUCUACAUAGAGAAGAAAAGAAACAAAGGAACAUAAGAAUCACUAUUUAAGUAUGAAGAUCAUCUUCAUCCAUGGUUCCUUGGUAAUUUACUUAUGAAAUUUUUUGUUUGGCCUUUUUGGUCAAGCUUGGCGUCAAGAUAAAUCUCCCGGGAGGUUUUUCUUAUGGUUUGAAGUUGCUUCAUAAAUGUAGAGUUCAAGUACUGUGAUUUUCACUUUUCUAAGUAAUUUUGCUAUUUAAUCAGG